AUAAGGAGAAUAUUUGUAUGAAAGGCAGCCCAAACCACAAAUAUUCAUUGUGAGUGGUAAUGAUAGGGUACCAUUCCUUAAAGGAGGAUACCAGUUACUGCACAGGCAAGUUGAAUGAAUGAGAUCCCUUCACCCUGGCAAAGGCAGUGUUCUUUUCUUGCUGGAUAAGGAUUUGCUUUUCUUCUGUAGUAUCAAUCAACAGGUCUGCCCACAGCUAGUCUAUCAUAAAGGGAUUCCACAGAUCACUAUCUCCGAUCAAGGACCUCUGACACGGAGGAAGAUAUGAGCUGAGAGAUGAUGGAAUCUAUGAGCCUAUCGUACAUUACAUUCUGUAUCCACCACCAUUCCUGACCCCUAACACUGCUGAAAUGGAAGAAAAAGAGAAGGUUGGGAGAGGAGGAAGAAGAAGCACACGGUCCUGACUUUUAGACAUGAACUCACACCUCAGCUUCUGGUCUCUAUUGCACAUCUUGACAGCAAGCAGCUUGAAGACAUGGCUGACCUGUGGGAGAAGGGGUAAAGUCCAACACUUUCAUUGGUCCACAUUCUGGGAGGUCAUCUUAUCCUCAGUAGUGAUGUCAUCUGUGCC
ensembl:lncRNA